AACUGUGCAAAGGUAGCAUAAUCAUUAGUCUUUUAAUUGGAGGCUGGAAUGAAUGGUUGGACGAAGUAUAAGCUGUUUCAUUUAAAUUUAUUGUAGAAUUUUAUAUUUUAGUUAAAAAGCUAAAAUGUAGUUAAAAGACGAGAAGACCCUAUAAAUCUUUAUAGUUUGUUUUGUUUAGAUUUUUUGGAUUUGUUUUAUUUUUUUGAAUAUAAUUAUUUUGUUGGGGUGAUAUUAAAAUUUAAUGAACUUUUAAUUAUUAAAAUCAUUAAUUUAUGAAUUGUUGAUCUAUUAUUAAUGAUUAUAAGACUAAGUUACUUUAGGGAUAACAGCG
rnacentral:rRNA from 1 species